rnacentral:rRNA from 1 species
UUAAAGUCUAACCUGCCCACUGAAAAAAUUUAAAUGGCCGCAGUAUCCUAACUGUGCAAAGGUAGCAUAAUCAUUAGUCUUUUAAUUGAAGGCUGGAAUGAAUGGUUGGACGAAAUAUUAACUGUUUCAUAUAAAUUUAAAAUAGAAUUUUAUUUUUUAGUCAAAAAGCUAAAAUUAAAUUAAAAGACGAGAAGACCCUAUAAAUCUUUAUAUUUUUAUUGAUUUUAAUUAUAAAGAUUAUUUUUAUUAUAAUCAAUAAAAAUAUUUUAUUGGGGUGAUAUUAAAAUUUAAAAAACUUUUAAUUUUAAAAACCAUUAAUUUAUGAAUAAUUGAUCCAUUAAUAAUGAUUAAAAAUUUAAGUUACUUUAGGGAUAACAGCGUAAUUUUUUUGGAGAGUUCAUAUCGAUAAAAAAGAUUGCGACCUCGAUGUUGGAUUAAGAUAUAAUUUUGGGUGUAGCCGUUCAAAUUUUAAGUCUGUUCGACUUUUAAAUUCUUACAUGAUCUGAGUUCAAACCGGCGUAAGCCAGGUUGGUUUCUAUCUUUAAAAAAUUAAAAUAUUUUAGUACGAAAGGACCAAAUAUUUGAAUAAUUAUAUUUUUAAUAAGAAUAUUAUUAAUAUAA